rnacentral:rRNA from 1 species
AUGAUCCCCACCCCGAAGAACACACAACAGGAAAGAAGAAACAGAGUAAGGAAGAAGAAGCGUGCUCACGAAUCCGUAUCCCUUGGACCUCCCGGUGGCGCGGUCGGUGAUGACGACGGCCUCGAGGAUGUCCCCGUAGGCCUCGAAGUGCGCGCGCAGGCCCUCGCUCCGCGUCUCCCACGCCAGGCCCCCCACGAACACCUUGGUGUACGUCGUGUCCCCGUAGGGCCCGCUCAGGUAGUGCAGCGCCGGCGUCCCGCCACCCCCGCCGCCCCCUCCCCCUCCGCCUCCUCCUCCUCCCCCCGCCAUCACCGCCGGCGACCGCUGCGGCGUCAUCAUCCCAGGCGCAUGCGCUCGCCGCAAACCCUAACCCUAGCUGAGCUGAGCGGAGCUAGCCGGCCGCGCUAA